UGGCUAACUCCUACGGGAGGCAUCAGUGGGGAAUAUUGCACAAUGGGCGCAAGCCUGAUGCAGCGACGCCGCGUGGGGGAUGACGGCCUUCGGGUUGUAAACUCCUUUCGUUAGGGACGAAGCUUUUUGUGACGGUACCUAGAUAAGAAGCACCGGCUAACUACGUGCCAGCGGCCGCGGUAAUACGUAGGGUGCGAGCGUUGUCCGGAAUUACUGGGCGUAAAGGGCUCGUAGGUGGUUUGUCGCGUCGUCUGUGAAAUUCCGGGGCUUAACUCCGGGCGUGCAGGCGAUACGGGCAUAACUUGAGUGCUGUAGGGGUAACUGGAAUUCCUGGUGUAGCGGUGAAAUGCGCAGAUAUCAGGAGGAACACCGAUGGCGAAGGCAGGUUACUGGGCAGUUACUGACGCUGAGGAGCGAAAGCAUGGGUAGCGAACAGGAUUAGAAACCCGAGUAGUCCAGCUGG
rnacentral:rRNA from 1 species